rnacentral:rRNA from 1 species
UACGUAGGGUCCGAGCGUUUGUCCGGAAUUAUUGGGCGUAAAGAGCUCGUAGGCGGUUUGUCGCGUCUGCUGUGAAAUCCCGAGGCUCAACCUCGGGUCUGCAGUGGGUACGGGCAGACUGGAGUGCGGUAGGGGAGAAUGGAAUUCCUGGUGUAGCGGUGGAAUGCGCAGAUAUCAGGAGGAACACCGGCGGCGAAGGCGGCACUCUGGGCCGGUACUGACGCUGAGGAGCGAAAGCGUGGGUAGCAAACAGG